rnacentral:misc_RNA from 1 species
GGAGAAAGCAACAACUAAACCUGGAGUGGAGAAGUCUAGUUCUGUUCGUGGGGCGAGUCCAACACCGAAGAGACUGCUGGGUGGGAAUCCAUUGAAGAAUUAUCUUCAAGGACUCGAAUUGGAGCCUAAGGCCCUGAGGAAGAGCUGGGAAGGGAAUAUGGAUUUGAAGAGUAGAGAGAGUCCCAGAUUGAGGGUCAACAAGCAUGAUUUGAAGCCUGAACCGAGGAGCACUUCUGUUCCAAGAAAAUCAACUAGUGAAAAAUUGACUAGUAAAGAAGAUAACCGGGGAAUACUUGCAAAAUCAUCCAAAGAGGAAAAUAAGGCUCAUACAUCCUUGAAGAAGUCCACAAAUGGAGAGCCUGUUGAUGCUGAUAAAUCAAGUAACCAGAAAAUAUCCAAGGGAAGAAAGCAACCUGGGGAAGUCAAUAAUGGCUUACAAGACUUGGUCAAAGUUGCUGUCAGUAAUAGAAUUUUAGCAGAUGGAAAUGUUGCCUGGUCUUCACUCCCAUCUUCUCUCACAAAGAUUGGAAAGGAAGUCAUGAAGCACAGAGACGCCGCACAGGUAGCAGCCAUUGAGGCUAUGCAGGUGGCUUCGGCUUCUGAAAGCUUACUAAGAUGUCUAAGCACAUAUUCUGAGUUGAGCUCCUCGGCAAAGGAAGAUAACGCACAGCCUGCUGUUGAGCAAUUCUUGGCGCUGCAUGCGAGUUUGAAGAAUGUUCACCUUGUUGGUGAUGCUUUAUCCAAGACCAUAUCAGCUGCUGGUUCAGAAUCAGAUCAUGAAGAGAACCCUUCUGAAGAAGCACUUAAGGCUGUAUCAGAAAAACGGA